GAUGAACGCUGGCGGCGUGCCUAAUACAUGCAAGUCGAGCGAACUGAUUAGAAGCUUGCUUCUAUGACGUUAGCGGCGGACGGGUGAGUAACACGUGGCCACCUGCCUGUAAGACUGGGAUAACUCCGGGAAAACGGAGCUAAUACCGGAUAACAUUUUCCCUUUCCUAAGAGAAAAUUGAAAGAUGGUUUCGGCUAUCACUUACCGAUUGGCCCGCGGUGCAUUAGCUAGUUGGGGAGGUAACGGCUCACCAAGGCAACGAUGCAUAGCCGACCUGAGAGGGUGAUCGGCCACACUGGGACUGAGACACGGCCCAGACUCCUACGGGAGGCAGCAGUAGGGAAUCUUCCGCAAUGGACGAAAGUCUGACGGAGCAACGCCGCGUGAGUGAUGAAGGCUUUCGGGUCGUAAAACUCUGUUGUUAGGGAAGAACAAGUACAAGAGUAACUGCUUGUACCUUGACGGUACCUAACCGGAAAGCCACGGCUAACUACGUGCCAGCCGCCGCGGUAA
rnacentral:rRNA from 1 species